GUGCGUGCUCGCGGUGGGCGGUGGCGGCGGCUGCCUCGCGAAGGUUCCAGAUCCGUCGCGUGCAGAAGGCGGGCCGCGGUCUUGCGCAGGGUCGGUGUGGGCGCAGGCUGCGGCGCCGCGACUCGUGCGGGUAGGCGUCUGCGCUCGGUUUGAGGGCUCGGCGCGGCGUUUCCUGUUCCUUCCUCUGCGCGGCUGCAGCUCGGGACUUCGGCCUGACCCAGCCCCCAUGGCUUCAGAAGAGCUACAGAAAGAUCUAGAAGAGGUAAAGGUGUUGCUGGAAAAGGCUACUAGGAAAAGAGUACGUGAUGCCCUUACAGCUGAAAAAUCCAAGAUUGAGACAGAAAUCAAGAACAAGAUGCAACAGAAAUCACAGAAGAAAGCAGAACUUCUUGAUAAUGAAAAACCAGCUGCUGUGGUUGCUCCCAUUACAACGGGCUAUACGGUGAAAAUCAGUAAUUAUGGAUGGGAUCAGUCAGAUAAGUUUGUGAAAAUCUACAUUACGUUAACUGGAGUUCAUCAAGUUCCCACUGAGAAUGUGCAGGUGCAUUUCACAGAGAGGUCAUUUGAUCUUUUGGUAAAGAAUCUAAAUGGGAAGAGUUACUCCAUGAUUGUGAACAAUCUCUUGAAACCCAUCUCUGUGGAAGGCAGUUCAAAAAAAGUCAAGACUGAUACAGUUCUUAUAUUGUGUAGAAAGAAAGUGGAAAACACAAGGUGGGAUUACCUGACCCAGGUUGAAAAGGAGUGCAAAGAAAAAGAGUGAGUCUACUUUCAUUUUUUUAAAGAAUUUUAGUGUAUUGUUUGAGA
rnacentral:sRNA from 1 species